UACGUAGGGGGGCAAGCGUUGUCCGGAAUCAUUGGGCGUAAAGAGCGCGUAGGCGGCCCCAGUCAGUCCGCUGUGAAAGUCAGAGGCUCAACCUCUGGAUGCCGGUGGAUACGUGCUGGGCUAGAGUCCGGAAGAGGCGAGUGGAAUUCCUGGUGUAGCGGUGAAAUGCGCAGAUAUCAGGAGGAACACCGAUGGCGAAGGCAGCUCGCUGGGACGGUACUGACGCUGAGGCGCGAAAGCGUGGGGAGCAAACAGG
rnacentral:rRNA from 1 species